CAGCACCUCAAGUGGUCAGGAUGAUUAUUGGGCCUAAAGCAUCCGUAGCCUGCUUUGUUAGUUUUCGGUUAAAUCCAUACGCUCAACGUAUGGGCUGCCGGGAAUACUGCGAAGCUAGGGAGUGGGAGAGGUAGACGGUACUCGGUAGGAAGGGGUAAAAUCCUUUGAUCUAUUGAUGACCACCUGUGGCGAAGGCGGUCUACCAGAACACGUCCGACGGUGAGGGAUGAAAGCUGGGGGAGCAAACCGGAUUAGAUACCCGAGUAGUCC
rnacentral:rRNA from 1 species